rnacentral:rRNA from 1 species
UACGUAGGAUGCAAGCGUUGUCCGGAUUUACUGGGCGUAAAGCGCGCGCAGGCGGCCCUCUAAGUCCGCUGUGAAAUAUCCCGGCUCAACCGGGAGGGUGCAGUGUAGACUAGAGAGCUUGAGGUCGGUAGAGGGGGGUAGAAUUGCUGGUGUAGCGGUGAAAUGCGUAGAGAUCAGCAGGAAUACCCGUGGCGAAGGCGGCCCCCUGGGCCGUACCUGACGCUGAGGCGCGAAGGCUAGGGGAGCGAACGGG